CUGCCAAAUUACUCAAAAUUCCAUAAUUCAAACACAGACUCCCUAGGAUACAUAUGAUAGUCUUGAACCCAUUCCAUACAUGAAGGCAAAUUCCAAUACUGAUUGAUCAUUGAAAUUGAUAUCCAUUUCUGGUAUAAAGAGGUACGAAUGUUAGUUGAUCUUUAGCAAUAUCAAUGACAUGUUUGAAUGACCAACUAGGUCACCCAUGUGGUGUCAUCCACACAAGUGAGAAUGUGUGGCGAGAUGAAGUGGAAGGCCAAGUAGAUGCAGGGAUUCUGCAUUUUCAAUUUUCAUGAUAUCAUCAGUCUCAAGGGUUGCCAUAUCGGUUGGUACCGUAUCAUACUGGUACGCAGUCUCAUACUGUAUCAACACUCGGUACAUCUCGCCGUCUUGUACCAUACCAAUGUACCGACAUUGUAAUAAGAUGGUACUGGUAUGGGUCCAAUACGAAGAUGACAAACCUUGAUCAGCACCUUUACAUAUGAAACCCUCAAUCCCAAAAAAGUCAGGUUGGGGAAGUACUGGUCUUCUUCAACCCCUCUCUACUUAGCAACUCUUGCCCUCCCGCACGCAUGGAAAACAUCUCAUUGAUAGGGUGAGGGCAGGGCCGGCUCGGGCCUUAGGCGACUGAGGCGGUCGCCUAAGGCCCCCGGCCUAGGAAAGGCCCCCUCCCCAUCGCACAGUUUUUUUUUUUGUUUAAUUAAUGCAUAGUUUUCAGCCUUUCCCAUCCGAAAGCUACCUUAUAGAGUCAUAGUUGGGCAGUGGGCGACGGCUACCGGGCUACGCCGCUACAGUCCAUCCCCUUCGGCUUCUCCCCGACGACAGACUGGCUAGGCCCUGGGCAACGGCUACGGCAAUUGACAAAUGACAAGCAAUGGCAUUUCCUCCCCCCUUCUCUCCUCCCUUCUCAGUUCUUUGCUGGGGCUUUCUUUUUUAUUGCUGAACCUUCUCCGGUUCUCGGUAGUCCUCUCCAGGCUCCACCGCAGCACCGCUCUAUCUCUCCUCACUGUCCUCGACUUCUCCGAGGCUCCAAGCCUCCUACCUCCGGGCUCCGGCCUCCGGCCUCCUCGGCUAGUCGGCUCUGCUCUAAAGUCCACUGUCCUCGGUCCUCCUCCGUUCGCCGUCCUCGGAUCUCCCCGUCGAGCCGACACUCCGCAGUCCGCACUCGGCCGAAGAGGGAUCAGGGAGGUGGCGUCGCCGGCGUGAUGGCGUCUCUUCUCCUUCCCGGCCCUCCGCCCUCUCCAGGUUUCUGGUGAUGGCUAAUGGGAUGGCUGCAGGUUAUAGUCUAAUCCAGGGGCCAGGAGGUGAGGUCUGUGGUGACCAUGAUAAAAGGAAGUGUUCUCUUCAACAAGGCCUUGGCUUGGGCUAUCUUCUAAUAUGAUCUGGUAUAUUGUAAAUUCUUUGGGGCAGGGCCUCUUCACAUACAUUGGAAAGCAUUUGUGGUGUAGAUGAAUGCACAUAGCUAGGUUGUUAAAGGGUGCUGAAAGAUUUAGAUUUCUAAACACUAAUAGCUAAGCAUAAAUGGACCCUAUUCUCAUAGCUUUUCACUACUUGUAAGCACUGAUUUCGGAACAUCUAAUAGCUAUUAUUUUUAAAUGAAUUUUUAAAA